rnacentral:lncRNA from 1 species
CUCUUACAGGUGUGUGGGGCUCACUCAAAGGUAGUGUUCAAAUCCAGGAAAGCCUGAGGGUUGAAAUAUACCAGUUAGCAAAUUCUAAUCUUCUAGUAUGAUUUUCAAAUGCUUGAUCUUCUUUUUUUUUUUUUUUUUUUUUGGAGAGACUGGGAGGUAGUGGGGGAGGGGCAGAGAGAAAGAGGAAGACAGAGAAUCCCAAGCAGGCUCCAUAGCUGUCAGCGCAGAGCCUGACACAGGGCUCAAACCCACGCACUGCGAGAUCAUGACCUGAGCCGAAACCAGGAGUCGGACGCUCAACCGACUGAGCCACCGAGCUGCACCUAUAUCUUCUGUUCUAAUGUGUAACCUUCGUGCAUAGGUUCACCUUACUUCCCUGGGCCUUAGUUUGCCCAUCUGUGAAACAAGAUGGGUUGAUCCUGGGUUGGCACGGAGGAGAACUAAAUUCUCUCUCUCUCUUUCCUUCCCCAGCAAAGGCAGACAUCCCUAAUGAACUCCCAAGAAUGCACUCCUUCUCAGAAGAGCAAUCGGAUAGCCUGCCAGGACUAAGCUACCCAGGUUUGGUUCAGGGCUGAAGCUGUUUGCCAGUCAUGGAGAGUAAAUGCUCACAAAUCAUCUGGGAGGUACGGACAAGAGAAGCAAGGUCCGGGGAAGCUGACUUGCCUAAGACUUGGGAGGUGACAUGGAAGGAACCAGAAAUCCCAAUGACCUCUUCUGUUAGUCUUUGACUGAGAUCGGAGAUGUGAGCCUCACUGAAUGAGUAGGUAGAUGAAUGAAUGCAUGAGGCGUGUGAGAGCAUAAGAGAAUGAUAUGGUCGGGCCAAGCGUUUGUCUUCUAAGGCUUAUGAGCAACAGUUAGGCUAUUUUUAGCUGAGUCUUCAGUAAACAGCCUUUAUUUUGACUGCCAAGUGGCACAGUAAAAAUUCUCUAUGGUAACAAGACAGCUUUGUUAUUUUUGAAGAUCAAAGUAUUUUCAAAUGCCAUUCCCUAUUUUUAAAUGAACUAUUGAGACAGCAUUUUUGUUUUCUUUUUGGCUAAAGACUUUGACCAGGUUGAGAAUCAGUAGGUGUUGAACUUUACCUGGUGUUACAUUCUAAGCCUGAGAUGAGGAUUGUCUCGGAAUUCAGGCAGGGCCCUUUGGCCCGUCUGCAAAUGGGCCAUCUCUGCUGGGUCCCUCUCCUACCAUGCAAAGGUCACCCAAGUCC